UACGUAGGGUGCAAGCGUUAAUCGGAAUUACUGGGCGUAAAGCGUGCGCAGGCGGUUUUGUAAGUUUGUCGUGAAAUCCCCGGGCUCAACCUGGGAAUGGCGAUGAAGACUGCAAGGCUAGAAUCUGGCAGAGGGGGGUAGAAUUCCACGUGUGAGCAGUGAAAUGCGUAGAGAUGUGGAGGAACACCGAUGGCGAAGGCAGCCCCCUGGGUCAAGAUUGACGCUCAUGCACGAAAGCGUGGGGAGCAACAGGAUAGAGACCGUGAUAGUCC
rnacentral:rRNA from 1 species